GAUGAACGCUGGCGGCGUGCCUAAUACAUGCGAGUCGAGCGAACGGACGAGAAGCUUGCUUCUCUGAUGUUAGCGGCGGACGGGUGAGUAACACGUGGAUAACCUACCUAUAAGACUGGGAUAACUUCGGGAAACCGGAGCUAAUACCGGAUGAUAUUUUGAACCGCAUGGUUCAAAAGUGAAAGACGGUCUUGCUGUCACUUAUAGAUGGAUCCGCGCUGCAUUAGCUAGUUGGUAAGGUAACGGCUUACCAAGGCAACGAUGCAUAGCCGACCUGAGAGGGUGAUCGGCCACACUGGAACUGAGACACGGUCCAGACUCCUACGGGAGGCAGCAGUAGGGAAUCUUCCGCAAUGGGCGAAAGCCUGACGGAGCUACGCCGCGUGAGUGAUGAAGGUCUUCGGAUCGUAAAACUCUGUUAUUAGGGAAGAACAUAUGUGUAAGUAACUGUGCACAUCUUGACGGUACCUAAUCAGAAAGCCACGGCUAACUACGUG
rnacentral:rRNA from 1 species